UUGAUGCAAUUUGAUUAUGAAUUCAUACGAAUGAUGACAUUUGUCAAGAUAUUUAUUGUUUCAACGGAUUUAUUGUUUACGCUUAUUAGAAUUACAUUGGAAUAAUAUCGUAGAAUCGAUAAAUUGCAAUUACGUGUACACACGGGGCAAUGCCACCCAGAAAAGAUGACUCCGUUAUUGUCGAUAUAAAUGGCAAAAAAAAGGUUCUCAGACCGCUUUCACUAAACUUCAAUCGGGCAGUUAAACGUCCAACAAGGUCUUCGAUUGCAAGCCGAAAGAAAAGACGUUAUCGCCCAGACGAACUUGCAUUACAAGAAAUUCGUCGUUAUCAAAAUACCACGAAUUUGCUCAUCAAAAAACUGCCGUUUCAACGACUUGUAAGAGAAAUACUCUACGAGAUGCAUUCUACUGCCAAACUACAAUUGGUCGUAUUGGAAAUCUUACAGCAAGCCGCAGAAGCGUUCCUUGUGGGAUUGUUCGAAGACACCAAUUUAUGUGCGAUUCACGCGCGACGUGUUACUAUCAUGCAGCAUGAUCUUAGGCUAGCCAUGAGAUUACGACGAUAAGUUAAAUUACUGAUAAGGGGUAAGGAGUCUUUAUUUUUGAUCGUUUGUUUUAUGUAUAGAUCGACGAUUAAAUUUUUAUGGUAAAAUAUUGAGAGAGAAAAACAUUUUCUGAAUAAAUU